UACGGAGGAUGCAAGCGUUAUCCGGAUUCAUUGGGUUUAAAGGGUGCGUAGGCGGGCUAUUAAGUCAGUGGUGAAAUCCUGCAGCUUAACUGCAGAACUGCCGUUGAUACUGAUAGUCUUGAGUUUGGUUAAGGUAGGCGGAAUGUGUAAUGUAGCGGUGAAAUGCUUAGAUAUUACACAGAACACCAAUUGCGUAGGCAGCUUACUGAGCCGACACUGACGCUGAGGCACGAAAGCGUGGGGAGCAAACA
rnacentral:rRNA from 1 species